GGCUUAAUGUUUUUGUAUUGCAUAAAUAUGACAAGUAACUAUCCACUUAGCAGUAAGUUCGUCAUUAUCUUUAUAUUCGUCAUCAAAUGGAUUUAAUAUUAUGGUUGUAUUCAUGGAUCUUUCUGGACAGUGGGUGAUGUGUGUCGGCCGUUAACGUUAGCAUAUCUCCAUGGACAGCUAAGUGUCUAUGAUGUUAAAUUAUUAGGCCUAUGUUGAGUAUAACUAUUUUAUUCGUAAGUAUAAAAUGGAAGUUAACACAUCUCCUCCCAGUCGUUGUUUGGAAUUUUAGCCUUAGUCUCCCGGCCAGUUUCAUAAAUUUUCAUCAGCCAGCGAACAUUUUGUCCGAUGGGCAUGUGUAAUUUCUAGAAGUGCUAGUUCUUCAGAAAAAGGAUACGUGCCUAAGUACACUAAACCAACGUUAGUUCUGCUGCUGUGUUGUUCCGGUUUUUAUUCCAAACUUCCAUUUUCACUCCUAAUGUUCACCCUGACGUGAACAGGAAAUGUGCAUGAUAUCAUUUGACUGUUGUAGGCCCCUAGAGUACUUCUAGGUGUUUUCAUGACCGAUGUCAGUUAACUUUUUGGGAGCCAACGCAUGUGAGGCGAAACGUGUUUUUUACCUGACUUGGGAGUCAAAUGUUUUGAAUGUCUACUAUACAUUGAUUAAGGCAUUUUCACGCACGAGCAGGAAACAAUGAUACAUUACUAAUACUUAAUUCAAGUCAGUGGCAGGAAAUGAUAAACCAUAACCAGCAACGCAUUAAUUACAGCAAUGCAUUACUUUUUCUGCAACUCAGAGAAUACCUUAAGUUUGGCAGUUUUUUAGCAACUCAGUCAACAUUGCAUGUAAGCUUAACACAAUAAUGCAUAUUUUUUCUUUUUUGUGUCACUCCUCACCACAUAUGGCAGAUUUAGUGUGAAGAGCCACCUGUACAAGAUUCCUGGGACAGCAGAACAUGCACCUCACGCACUACCCUGGCACCCUGGCUGAACAACCCGCAGCACAUCAUCUCCAGCUGAGAGGGGGACUCAUACAUUCAUUUGAAAUCAGCUCUACUGAGGUUUCUACAGGCUGCCAGGUUGUUGCUGCCUUGGUCCAUUACCAGCACCAUGGGAGUGAAGCCAGUGUCAAGCACCUUUUCCACCGCCUCCAUGAUUUUGGUUUUUAAGACCCCAUGCUUCAUGGUCCCAGAUGACAAGAAGUACCCUAUGGGUUGUUUCCAUUUCCCAGUUAGACUACGGAUCAUGAAAACCCCUGCAUGGUUGGCUGGUCUUCCCCCUUCGUCAUACCCUUCUACUUCAUCUUUCGAGAUGUUAUAAUUUAGGCUACAUUUCAAUGUAAUUUCAUCAAAUGUGAUGGCAACGUGCCUAUCUCGCUCUUCCAUAUGCUGCACUUGAUGUUUAAGUGCAUACAGCACAGGUUCAUGCCAUCCCGGCCCGAUGUCUACUCUCUGCAAGAUAUUUGAAAGGGUCCUGGCUGUAGGGAGCUUGAAAAUUCUCCUCAUGGUUCGGUAGGCUUUUGGCCCUGUACCCUUAACCUGUAACGCCCAACUUUUCAUGAAGUUGCUCCACCGAAUGGCCCUUGGUUUUUUUUUUUGGCAUUAUCAAUUUGCUCGUUGACAAAUUGUGCGGCUUGUUUUGGCAAUACUUUGGAAAUUUCCCUCUUUAAUGUUUGUUUGCUGAUAGAUGGUGUCUUUUUCUUUAGCCUUGCUUUGAUUUGUAGCAGCCAAUUUUUCUUUUCAGUUUUUCCACUGUGUUGUCAUUGCUGACACUGGCCAGUACAUCAGUGCCUAAAAAGAAAUGUGACAACUGUAACAACAGACUUAUGCACAGACUACUACCUAUGCAGUGUUCAACACUCAGAAUGUAUCUGUUACCACCAUUUGCCAUUAAAUCACUUACUAUCCAGGA